rnacentral:ncRNA from 1 species
AGAAGGAAGGACGCUUUCACAUGCGAAAGGCCAUGGGAGAGAUUUUUCUAUGAUCCAUGGAUCUCCGAGCGGCAAACCGUAUAUAUAUCCAAGCUGCCUGGCUUGUUUGCGCUCUUUGGACUUUUUAAACUUAGCGAAUUGAAAUAUCUGAGUAGCUAAAGGAAGGAAAAUCAACCGAGACCCUGUUAGUAGCGGCGAGCAAGAGCGGAACAAG